GCCGCUUCACGUACUUCGUACGACAGGAGCGCACUUGUUCUCUGCCCGAGAACUUCGUCCCGAGAGAACCUGAGGAACUCGCCGGGCCACACCCCCUGUCCAGGGAAGGAACACGCCCCCGGUGAAAGCCGGUACGGCCCCGGCCUUGGGCAACCUCGAUUACGGGCGGCCGCCAGCCCCGCCAGCAGCGCCCCGCGCCCGCCCGCCGGCGCCCCUGCCGCCCCCCGGUUCCGGCCGCGGACCCCACUCUCUGCCGUUCCGGCUGCGGCUCCGCUGCCGGUAGCGCCGUCCCCCGGGACCACCCUUCGGCUGGCGCCCUCCCAUGCUUUCGGCCACCCGGAGGGCUUGGCAGCUCCACCUCCUCCUCCACAGCCUCUUUCCCGUCCAGAGGAUGGGCAACUCGGCCUCGAACAUCGUCAGCCCCCAGGAGGCCUUGCCGGGCCGGAAGGAACAGACCCCUGUAGCGGCCAAACAUCAUGUCAAUGGCAACAGAACAGUCGAACCUUUCCCAGAGGGAACACAGAUGGCUGUAUUUGGAAUGGGAUGUUUCUGGGGAGCUGAAAGGAAAUUCUGGGUCUUGAAAGGAGUGUAUUCAACUCAAGUUGGUUUUGCAGGAGGCUAUACUUCAAAUCCUACUUAUAAAGAAGUCUGCUCAGAAAAAACUGGCCAUGCAGAAGUCGUCCGAGUGGUGUACCAGCCAGAACACAUCAGUUUUGAGGAACUGCUCAAGGUCUUCUGGGAGAAUCACGACCCGACCCAAGGUAUGCGCCAGGGGAACGACCAUGGCACUCAGUACCGCUCGGCCAUCUACCCGACCUCUGCCAAGCAAAUGGAGGCAGCCCUGAGCUCCAAAGAGAACUACCAAAAGGUUCUUUCAGAGCACGGCUUCGGCCCCAUCACUACCGACAUCCGGGAGGGACAGACUUUCUACUAUGCGGAAGACUACCACCAGCAGUACCUGAGCAAGAACCCCAAUGGCUACUGCGGCCUUGGGGGCACCGGCGUGUCCUGCCCAGUUUUUAUGUGGACAUAAAUUUUCAACUUCUUUGGAUAAAUGCCAAGAAGUGUGAUUGCUGCAUUGCACAGUGAGAGCUUUUUCAUUCUCUGUCUUCAAAAAUAUGCCAAGUUGCCUCAGUAAAGAAUGCUGUUUUGUAUAUCAUGCCUGAUUGAAAAAAUUCUGCUCAACGAUGAUUGCAUGAAGAAUGGACAGUCCACCCUCUCAUCCAGAUGGCCCGAAAGGUGCCCUUGGUGUCCAUCAGACUGUCAGACUGCUGUUUACUGGGGCAGCUCCCAGGGUCUCUGCUCUUCUUUUGAGUCUGCACCACCGACAUCCUUUUAAGCUUCAAUUGGAGCUCCUGAUGCUUGCGAGCAAAGGAUAAAAGCUGCUGUGGAAGGAUGCCUGUUUGCAAGGAGGAAAGAGCGAGCUUCCUGCUUCCCAGGUCCCUGGCAUGCUCCCCCUGGUGGAAAGGCACUCCCUCCAAACUCUUGGAGAGGACUCAGGCUAAAAGUGGCAAGCUACUUCCAAGUUCCAGGUGACCCAUAGGCUGUGAUGUUGCCAUUAUGAAGAAAUUGCUGUGCUCAUCAAGUUACUUUGAACCAAGCUGUUCUUUACCAAAUGCCCUGAAGUCAUUGGAAAGUCACACGACCUUGCUUUAAAGUGAAGACUUAGAAUUGUUUCUCUGAAGAUGAGGGAGGUGCACGAAGGAUGUCAGGUACAACAGUGGUACGGUUUGGAUCUUAAAUUUCUAAAGCCACGUAGGCCUUGAUUCAAACUCCAGUGUGAAUAUUCAGUUGAAUGAAUCUAAACAGUUUCUGAAGCAGUUUAAGGCCCAGUUUUUACAUUGAUGGUAAAAGUAACAUCUCUCCUGCAGGACGGCUCUGUGAAUGGAAGGAAACAGCUCAAUCCAGGUCUCUAGACGUGACAAGCAUUGACUCAGUGGAAACUCCUGCUAUUUUUGUGGUUUUUAGACCAGGCAGAUCUGGGCAUGACUAGAGGAGGUUUUUCCUGGGACGCAGAAGGCGGUUCUAAUCCCAGAGUCCGGAUGCCCUCGUUAGAAUUCUGGGCCUCUAAUUCGCCUUGCUGGGGUGUCCUCCUCAAGACUUUCAGCUUCUCUGAUCCUCAUUUUUCUUGUCUGAAAUAGGCCUGUCUCACAGAGCUAAUUCCCAAAACUUCUGUGUAUUUGUGGCAGCCGUGUGUAUGCUAUUGAGAACUGGACGGGAGUGAAAGAGAGUGAUGAAGACAACAGUCUAUACAGCAUCUCCUAUUACCUGUUAGCUCAAUGCUUCAUGUGCAUUACCUCACUGAAUUCUCGCAACAGCCCAAAAAGGUCAUAAUCAUCUGGAGAGACACAUUGGCAGAGAGACUACCUUAAUACAAUGGGACCUCAGGAUGUGACUGUAUUUGGAAGUGGGUCCUUGCAGAUGUAAUUGAUGAAGAGGAGGCCAUGCUAGAGUAGGACAGGCCCCCAAUCCAAUAUGACUGGUGAUCUUAUAGAAAGGGGCCAUUUGGACACACUCACCCACACAGGGAGAGCCCCAUGUGAAGACUGGAGUUGUGCUGCCACAAGCCAAGAAUGUAUCAGAAGCCAGGAGGACGAAGUGGAACAGAUCCUUCCUAGCACUUUCAGAGGGAGCCCGGUCCUGCUAACAUUGGGAUUUUGGACUUCUGGCCUCCAGAGCUCCUGACAAUAUUUCUGUUGUUCUAAGCCACACAGUUUGUGGAACUUUGUUACAGCAACUCUGAAACUCAAGCAGCAUUCUAUCUGGGCAAAAAAUAUGUGCAAAGGUACAGAGGUGUACGGGAACUGUGGGAACUUCUGAGUUAAAUCAGAAUUGUUGUUUUGGUGGUUCAAAAAUAGGAGAACAUUGACAAAUUUGCAUGGUUCAAGUUAAGCUAUCAAGUUGGAAUAAUGUACCAGGUUGAGUGGUAGAUGGGGGGGGGGGGUCAGUUUACUGAAUAAAGCUCAAAUCAGAAUAAAUCGUCUUCCCUCCUAUGCGGCCAAUGAAUCGUUCUGAUAAGAAAUCACCAUGGAUAUGACAGGUGUAUGAAGAAUGGCUAGUAUUACUAAUUAAUGGCAAGGAGCUCUGGUUGUGAACAUUUUCCAAAAUUCCAUACAUAAGGGAAGUUUGCAAACAUUUUCCAAAAUUCUAUCCAUAUUCUAUUUUAGGAAAAAUGACUGUGGGACUUUCUUUCCCCAGCUGUUUUGAGGCUUUAAAAUUUAUCUUAGAACCUCUUGGAACUAUCCCAUCGGAAUAACUGGAAGACAGAUAAAACAUUAGGCAGUUUAUUGAUUUUAUUGGACGUGGAGUUUUGUCAGAACCAGCAUUUACUGUACUUCUCAUAGCUGUAAGCAAAGCAUUAGAAUUCAGCAACCUAAUGCUUUUCUUUUCUCUGCCAAGCGGGGUCGUGAAAUGGGAGAGAAAGCCUCCUUGCCUCUGUUCUUUGCAAACAGCAUGUAUUUGGGGCAGUAGAGCAAAACAUCUGAUCGCUGCUCUAAGUGUUUGCAAACUUUUGGGCACUGGAGGGGACAUGCAUAUGAGAUGGAACAGGGCAUAGAUAAAAGAAUUCCUGCAUUACCCACCAUCCUGCCCAAAGAAACCACACGACUUCCAUGGCAGUCCCAGACUACAGAAAGGGAAAACACAGCAAGCGCCUGCAUUCUCUUCAUUUAGGCCCCAAGUCAUCCAAAAAUUGCCUACCACAGCAGUAGAUGAGUUCACAUUUUAAUCAAAACAGGAUUGCAUAGAAACAUACGUCCACGUGAAAACCAGUACCCAAUGUUUAUGGUGGCUUUCUUUUUAAUUGCUAAAAACUGGUAACAACCUAAAUGUCCAUCGUCAGAGGAAGCGAUGAACAAACUGCGGUGCAUUCACACAAUAGCGGUGCUACACAGCAGCGAAGAGGAGCAGCCGACUGACACGCACAACUCGGAUCUCAGGAGCAUCGCGCCGAGCUGGAGAAGCCAGACACGAGCCGCUGCACACCGUAUGAUUCCAUGGCAUUCUGGGAAAGGCAAAACUCCAAGCACAGAGAACGCAUGAGUUGUUGCCCGGGUUUGGGGUUCCAGGAAGAGGAUGGAUUACUAAGAAGCACAGGGGAAUGUUUUGGGGUGAUGAAAAUGUUCUAUGUCUUGUCUUUUUCUUUUCUUUUUGUGAAACGGAGUUUCACUCUUGUCGCCCAUGCUGGAGAGCAAUGGUGUGAUCUCGGCUUACUGCAACCUCCACCUCCCAGGUUCAAGCAAUUCUCCAGCCUCAGCCUCUUGAAUAACAGAUUACAGGCACAUGGCUCCCCGCCCAGCUAAUUUUUGUAUUUUUAGUAGAGACGGGUUUUCACCAUUUUGGUCAGGCUGGUCUUGAACUCCUGACCUCAGGUGAUCCGCCCACCUCAGCCUCCCAAAGUGCUGGGAUUACAGGCAUGAGGCACCACAUUCGGCCAAAGUUCUAUGUCUGGUCACAGCCAUUUACAUUAAUCAGAAUUCACAGAACCAUCCAUCUUGAAGUGGUAAAUUUGCUGCAUAGAAAUUAUACCUCAAAGACCAGACGUUCAAAAAUGCCUUUGUGUUUUGUAAGCUUCAACACUUGCCCAGUGGGAACCACAAAAGCGUUGCCCAAUUUGUUGAAAGCAUUGCUGUUAUAACUUCAACAUGUGGGGAGAAGUUAUGUUUUCAUACUGUCUUUGUCUGCUCUGGCCACCGUUACAAAACACCAUAGACUGGGUGGAUUGAUCAACACACAUUUCUUUCCCACAGUGGAGGCUGGAAGUCCCCAAGACCCAGGUUCCUGGGGAGGGCUUUCUUCCUAGCCUGCAGGUGACCAACAUCUGCUGUGUCCUCUUGUGACUCUUCCUCAGUUCCUGUGCCAGAGGGGUCGGGGGACAAGUGGGCGUCCAUCUUAUAAGUGUCCUCAUAAGGCCACCAUCCUGUCGACCAGGGCACCACCCUAUACCUCAGUCAACCUUAAUGACUUCCUUGGUGGCCCCCUGUCCCGUUGCAGCCAGGGUUAAGCUUCAGCGUGCAAAGUGAAAGGCCACACAAAUCUUUGUCCGUAACAAAUGCCCAGUGGACAGGACACUCGGGUGCCCUGAGGCUGCAGGAGCUGAGGGUGAUCUUGCUCAGGUACUUCUGCUGGUACCUGCUGUAUGGGAAAAAGUCUGUUCCUCCUGGCUGGUGUCAGAAGUAACCAGGCUGAAGCCAUGCUCUGAAAGAACCUGUGCAGGGAGAGAAAGACCUGUUUGAGACCGACCUGAAAGCUCUCCGAGGGGAAAGAGCAGGUAAGCCUGGCUCCCUGAAGGUCCAGGGGAAGAAUGGGCUUCCCUGAGAGGCCUCAUGAGGGCCGCAGUGGGAGGGAAUGAAAGGGGCGGACAGGGUAGGGAUGGGGCAGGGAUAGGAGGGAGGUCUGCAGCUGCACCCAGCACUACUCCCUCUGCCCACCAGUUCACAAAUGUGACCCCGGCCCCCUCCCAGGCUGAACAGAGGGUCCCCCUAAUUUGCUGUGGCUCUGGGGAGCAGGGGCCCUGCUGGGACGUCCUGGUGAGCAGGGGGUCACUCAGGGUCUGUGCUCUGAACUCCAGGCAAGGGAGCCUGGGGAGUCAGGGCAGGAAAGGACAUGGCCUGAGGGCCUGUGGCUCAUCACCACCCUCUGCGUCCUAGUUUGCAUUCCGGUGGCAUCUGCUGCCAGGGAAAGCCACUCGUCAACACGAGCUGCGGGAGGAGAGGGGAGCUAUUUGGGGCAGGAGACAGACUAAGAAAUAGACAUUGCUCCCCGUGGAUUUCAGCCCUUUUGGGUUUCAGCUGUGCCCUCAUUCUUCCCUGUACGGGGACAGCUGGAUCUUUGCAGGCAGUGCAACAGAGGUGCAACUCCAGAUGUAGUGAUUCCACUUUGGACAGAGGUGCCAGGUGGGGGCCCCAGACUUGUGUCCAGGAGGGCACUGUCUGUGUGCCACAGUCCACCGGCCUCCUGGAGAUGAAAUCCCCAUGCCAGCCAAGAGGGGUACGCGAUGCUGACUUAGAGUUCAGCAUCACUCCACUUCUCCACUCGCCAUGACUCCUCACCUUCUCCUGGGCCCUGCCCUGAUUUUCUGAAUCUCCUCCAGCCCUCUGCGGUGGAAAUGAGGAGGUCGAUGGCUCCGAAACCAGCAGGUCUGGGGUGUUAAGGAAGAUGGCCCUAAGUAUAUCAAUUAGGAAGGGCUUCAGAAGGAAACAGGAUUCUACUCUGAAAGUGCAAAUGAAGGCAUUUUAAUGAAGGCACUGAAAGUUGUGGGCAUUGUAAAGGGAUUCAGCGAAGGAGAACAAGAUGUCCAGAGUUGAACAGUAGCAGUAAGCCAGAGGGGAAGCUACUGUCAUUGGAAUCCAGUGAGGACCGCAAGCGUGAAGGAGGGACUACCCUGUGGGGACUGAGUAUAGAAGGGACCCAGCCAACGGCAGAACAGUGGCCCACACAGGAAAGUGACAGGGAAGAAAUACCCCAACCCUCUCCCUUCCUGCCCUGGUACUUUCCGUUGGUACUUGCUGAGGUCAAGCUAAGUGGCGUUUAGGAUCCCAGGUAACUCAGUCCCUAGGAGCCAGCCUCCCAGGACCCAGGGAAGUACAGCACAUGGAUCUGUAUUGGGGAAAUGGGAGACAAAUGGAAAAUAAUGGCUCAGCAUCAUCUAGUACAUAUUCACAGAGGACAGAGUUGACAGCUAUGAGCUAUUCUGAUUUCAGGGCUGAUAAAGACACCACACUACCCAUUAUUAAGCCUUAUCAUGUACAAUAUACUAUGCCCAGGAUUUGCAAGUGUUAUCUUGCUUAAUCCUCAUAGCAACCACAUGAGGGAAUUACUCUUCUUGUUUUCCACAUUUAGCAGGUCAAUAUGCCAGAUAUUAUAUACUGAUUUUUAGCACCAUCACUGCCUUUCUAAAUCUCUCAGGUAAUGUAGAGGCUGAAAGCCUAACAGCUAUGUUUCUCAGGAUCCCAGCAGGCUUCCAAUUUAGAUUCUCAGCCAAGUUUUAGUAGGCAGAGGAAAGGGAGCAAUCAUUUUCCCAUGGCAGCUGUGUGCAGGCAUGCAGAUUUCAGCAGAUGGCAGUCAUGAGGUUUUGCCAUUAACUUUGGGUCUUCUGCAAAUCAUCCUGAUACUGAAGAUAAUUAUAUCAUUUGCAGGGGGUUCCAAUGAUUCCUGUAGUUUACUGAGCUCUUGAAAAGAAGCAACCGUUUUUCCUGACCUUGACACUCAAGCAUUUUUGAUGGUUCUAGAAGUACCCAUUUUCAGGUAUUAAAUACCUUUCUGUUUGAGAUACAUGAUUGUUUUCUAUUUUCCUGAAAGAAUCCUGACUGAUACAGUAUUUGGUACUGAAAGUGGUUCCAGGAAAUACAACUGCAAAGAUGGAGGGAAAUCUAAGAUGUGUUGUUAGGCAUGGAUUAGGUUGAAGCCAAUAAUGACCUCCUGGCUAGUGGAAAAUGGGUUUCUGGUAGUCCAUGGCAUGCAAUGUCUUAAGUUAUGGCCUGUCAUUCAUGGAAUCAAUUGCCUGUUAAAAGACACCAAGCACCUUUUUGAUAGAAUACUCUGGUGGAAGAGAUAAGUACAAGGGUUAAAGUCACUGAAUGCAAUGGAAAAUUUACAGAAAAAAUACAGAACAAAAUACCCCAACAAUCUCAGGGCUUUAAAAUUUCAACUCAGAGGUAUAACUCAAAAGCACUGGAGAAGCAUCAAAGAAGCUUCUACAACUGCCCCUGAAAGAAUCUCUUAUCGUAGCAGAAAUUGAACCCAGGGUUGUUCCUACAAGGUGGCAGAAUUACAACCUAACUUGAAUUCACAGCCUCUUUAGGUGCUUCCAUGAAAGGUGAUUAAUGGGGAAGGACUGUGACCAGGAGUAUUGCACUGGGAAACUUGGGUAUGUUAAGAUGAAUCAACGUACUUCACAACCUUAAAGUCCACUGAGCUUCCCUUCCUUUCUUUUCUGGGAACCUAGUUCCUUCUUGCUUGAAGACUUUGUAAAGACUCACCUGAAGAAAAUACUUUCCCAGGGAAUGCUGAUUCUCCCAUAGCCCACUACCCCCCAUCACCUCUCACAGCAGUCAUUAGAGUCAUGCCAGUAGAAUUCAUAGAAAUGAGUUCAAAUAUGACCCAGGAGAAGAUAGAAAACAUUAAAAUAACUGCAACAUUCUUCUAAUGUAUAUUUGUAGAAAUCUGAUGAUUAUGUCCAAGAAUGGAUUCUAAGGGACUUAGAAUUUGAUUUGACUGGGCCAAAUUUAUCAGUCUAGGUGCACUUAAGAGAAACUUUGAAUUCAGUGGUUUACCUAGAGCAGCUGGAAGUGGCUCUAUUUGGUUGAAGGACUAAAACCUUGGACCAAAAAAAUGGCCUACGUUAAACAGAGUUGCUUUCCAGUAUAUAAAGGAAGGAAUCCAAAGUCUUAGAUAAGAAUGCCAGAAUGGAUUUAUUGUGACCUGCUCCCCCAUCCUAUAACUCUAGUUUAUGAGAUUCCUGAGGAUGCUUUGUUAUAUCAGGCAUUGAAAAAUACAUUUCCAAGGAGAGCACCAGCAUCCUUGGAAGGCCCUGCUGUGGCCAUACUCUGUAGGCUGGGGGUGAUGUAGCACAUACCCAUCUGGUGGAAAAUUGAUCACAGUUGACCCCUUCCCUCAUGGAGUAGUCAGCAAUUUUCCAUCACAGUAGUAGAUAUUUCUUUCUUCUGUCUAUGGAUGUGUCUCCCAGGUCCACAAGGCCUUUGCUGCCUUAUCACACAAAACUUCCCAAAUGCCUGGUUAUUCAGCACAAUGGUUUUGCAUUUGGCAUUACUUCUUACAAACUGAUUAAAACGCAACAGAUUAAAAUGCAACAGACCUGAAGCAAUGCACUUGGUGCCCAUGGGAUUCACGGAUCUUCCCAUAGGUCCUACCACCCAGAAGCAGCAUGCCUGAUAGAACAGUGGAAUGGCCCAAUGAAGGUUAUGCAACUGAGCCUGUUGAGAUCUCAUGACAUGUGAGAAUGGAGUGCUCUUUUACAAAGUACUGUGUCUAUUAUGAAACACAUUCAAUAGGAGCUGAUUAUUUUAUGGCCAGAAUACUUGGAUUUGGGAACCAAAGGAUAAGAAUGGGACUGGCUUCAUUUACUAUUGCACGUAAUGAUCCACACCCAGUCAAGUUCUGCUUCUUACCACUGCAACUUUGAGCUCUGGAGGUUUAGAGACCUUAUUUCCCAAGGGAAGAAUGUCUCUACCAGGGAAUACGAUGGUUUAUUGCAUGGAGAGUUGAGACUGCCACCUGGACAUUUGGAGUUCAUUACACCACUAAGCCAAUAGGCAAAGGGGAAGGUUAGUGUCCUGGCUGAGAAGACUGACCCCUAAUAUCAAAGAACAGAGAUUUGCUCCACACAUGGGGACAAGGAGGAAUAUGUCUGAAAUCCAUUACAUCCUUUGAAGAUGCUCUUUCUAUUUCAUUGUCCAAAGGGAGAAAUCAGUGGAAAACUAUAGCAACGCCAUACAGGAAAAACCAUCAAGAGCUCAGAAAUGAAUGUCUGGUCACCCCAACAAAUAAAGAACAACAAUCAGCUGAGGUUCAAAUUGGAAGAAGGCCAAGUGUGGCCUCAGGAUCAGUUGCAGACUUGAGAACAAUUGCAGCAGCCUGGAUUUUCAUGUUGUUUUAUGUAUUUGUAUAUCCCAAUUUCCCUUUUUUCCUUCUUUUCCCCAAGUGUUCACAUUGGUUACAUUUAUCACUGAUCUUUAGGAUAUAAGAUUGUGGUGGCCAUGGAGGUGUACCACCCAGAUCUACUUCAAAAGAACCUGCUGUGGGAAGCAUAGUUGAUGACGGCCUUCAGCUACUGCUCUUCCAGAUCCAUCAUAGCUGUCACACCAACACUGCAUUUCUACUGAGUAUACCCAGCCAAUGGCUGACAGUGGCAGGGUCCAACUUUUCUUGAACCAUUACUGCUCAACCUGGCACCCUUUGCUCAGGAAUUCUCAUCAACCUGGUCCAGACUUUCUCAGACUUGCAAUGGGGUGUGAAGAUGCUCUGCCUCCUCCUGUUCCCAAGAUCCUUUUUCCUUGCCAGGCAUUUCCACCAAUAAAUCUCUUUCACAUAUAAUUCAGUCUUGGCAUCGGCUCUUGGAGGACCCAAACUGACAGGGAUGUGAAGCUGAGAUUGUGAUUAAACAAUCUCACUCAAAGAUGGAUAUGAUGAUUUUAUGAGACUUUUCAGAGAGGAAAAGAGUGUUCUGUUUGCAUAGAGAAUAGUCAUAUUGUGUUAGGAGCAUGCUGUUACUAUUCUUGUUUUCUAGAAAUUUUAAUAAAGAAGGUUGUGUGCAUACGCUGAGCAGCCAAAGUGGUAGGCUUGCUAGAUCGUGUUUCAAUAGGCACUCAAAUCCAAUUCCCCUAAAUCCUAAUUCCAUUUUUCUGUGUCAUGUUGCAGCUGCCUUACUCUAGUAUUGUGGAUGUGAUUUUGGGUGCAAUGAGAUGCACUUACUAAUAUCUGCAGUGUACAAUGCAGGCAGCAGCAGCGCCAGCUAAAGCUGAGCUCUGGUAGAGUUGGAUUGGAUUUUUACAGUGACCUACCUCUUCAGUGUGAUAUUUCCUCCUGGUCAUCAGCUACAGGCUGUGAGACAGCCCGGGGGAGACAGGGUAGCCAUGUUUCCUCCUACCUCCCAACCACUGGCUGGCGCACCAGCCUCCUGGCCUUAGGUCGCAGCCACAAUGACGUGACCUCCUAAAAUCCCUGGCAAGCUGGAGGAGCAGCCCUGCAACCAAGCCUGCUCUAAGAUAAGGGUUUCUGUUUACUAACCUAGAGCUACUCUAUUCUUUCAUCCUUGUUCCCCUUUCAACUGUCUCGCGCAAGUACUAAUGUUGCCAUUAAAUACGCAUUUUGUUUUGCAAAAUGAGAAGAGCUUAUAAAUACUUCAAAUUUUCUCCCUCUGUUUCACUUCUUUCCAUUUCUUUCUAAAAUUACCGUAAAAUAUUAAAUAUACAAAAUAUUUUUGUAUUUAUACAAAACAAUAAUACCAUAAAAGAAAACACUACAUAGUUGAAACCCUCUGAGGAUCUCUCCAUUUCUUCCAGCCAUAACGAAUAUCCUGAACUUUGCGUUUCUUUUCCUUUUGCGGUUGUUUAUUUUUUCUACAUUUGAAUAUAUCCUUACACGUUUUUAAAAUUUAUAGAAAUAUCACACUGAAUACAUUUUUCUGUAACUUGCCUUUGCACUGCAUUGUGAGAUUGAGCUAUGUUGAUCUGUUUAACUCCAGCUGAUGUAUGUAAUCAUCCCUGAUGAUUAUUCUGUCGUUUGACUAUACCAAAAUUUAUUCAGGUCUCUGAUAAUGAGCAUUUAGAUUGGUUUGUUUUCUAUUUAUGAAUUUAGCAAUUAUGUGUUUCUAAUUUUUUGUUAUAAACUAUGGUGCUAUGAAUAUUCCUGUAUAUGCCACCUUCAAAAUUUUAAAAUUUCAAGUUUUUAAAAAUACAGUCAUGUCAGGGUACGUUCUGAGAAAUGUAUCAUUAGGCAAUUUCAUUGCUAGGCACACAUCAAUGUAUGCAAAUCUAGAUGGCAUAGCCUACUACACACCUAGGCCAUAUGGUGUAGUGUGUUGCUCUGACCACCAUCAUAUAUGUAGUUCAUCAUUGACCAAAAUGGCGUUCUGCGGCACAUCUGUAUUAAAAUUUUUUAGUGGAAAACGAUUGUUUAAAAUCUGUUUUACAAGAAUGAUAGUUUUUAGUGUCAACAAUUUAAAUAUGGCACUUAUUUUUUAUCAGCACAUUGGUGGUAUUAUUCCAACAUCUUUUAGCUUCCCUUGCUGCCGUUGAGAAGUCUGUUGAUUUGAUACUCUGCUGUAAGUAAUCCAUUUUUUCCUCACAUAUGCUAAUUUUGAGAUCUUCUCUGCCUUUAUUGUUCUGCCAUUUCACUAAAAUAUGUUUAGAGAUAUAUAAAUUCUGCUUGGACUCUAUUGUGCUUCCAGAAUUGGAAGAUCAAUGUCUUUCAUUAAUUAUGGAACAUUCUCGGUCACGGACUCAUUGAAUGUUUCCUUUUCUCCAUUAUUUCUAUUCUUUUCUUCUGAAACUUCAGUAGUCAUAUGUUAGUCCUUUUAACUCCAUCUGCCUUGUUUCGUAACUUCUCUCUCAUGUUUUCCCAUAUUGCUUUUUAGCAUCCUGAGUAAUAUUCAGAUCCAUCUCCUGGUUUACUGAUUAUAUUUUUAUUUCCAUAAAUUUCACUGGAUUCUUUUUCAAUUCUGCCUGGCCAUUUUUUGAUGGUAUUUUGUUUUCAGUCUCAUUUUAAGUUUCUUCCUUUUAAAAAAUACUUUAUACAUAAUUAUAUUUACUAUCUAAUAAUUUAAAUAUCUGAACUCUGGGUGUGUAAUCUUCUUUCCUGCUCUUUUUCAUGGUGGUUUGUUUUCUGUUUAUGAAUUUAGCAGUUGUAUGUUUUGUACUCACGUUUGGCCAAACUUAAUUCGUGGGAAUCUGUGGGAGACUGUAAAAAUAUCAGUGGUUGCCAGGGUAUAGAUGAACAAGUGAAGCACUGAGGAUUUUUAGGCAGGGAAGCCACUCUGUGUGAUUACUACAAUGGUGGCCACAUGUCAUCAUACACUCAUCAAAACCCAUAGCAUGUGCAAUGCAAGCAGCAAAUCCUAACGUAAACUCUAGAUUCUAGUUAAUCAUAAUGCAUCAAUAUUGGCUCAUUAAUUGUAAUGUGCCACACUAAUGCAAGAUAUUAAAAUAGGAGAAAUUGGGAGGAGAUGGGGCAUAUGGGAAUCCAUUGUAUAAUACUUCCUGCUCAGUUUUUUUAUAAACCUGUAACUGUCAAAAGCCUAUUCAUUUUUUUAAAUAUAGAGAUAAAAAAACUAAAAAAAAAAAAGUAAACUUUGUGAUUUGGACUUAAACAGGGAACCCUAUCUCAGGGUCAUGAGAGAAAAGAACCAAGUGUCUCCUUCUGUGAACUGAAGGGCAUCAAGAAGAGUGGCGUUUUAGUGGCAGAGGGGAAUUCACUUUCUUUUGCAAUCUAAUGCUGGGUGUGUGUUGUGUUCUUUUUUUAAAUUAUACUUUAAGUUUUAGGGUACAUGUGCACAAUGUGCAGGUUUGUUACAUAUGUAUACAUGUGCCAUGUUGGUGUGCUGCACCCAUUAACUCUUCAUUUAACAUUAGGUUUAUCUCCUAAUGCUAUCCCUCCCCCAACCCCACAACAGGCCCCGGUGUGUGAUGUUCCCCUUCCUGUGUCCAUGUGAUCUCAUUGCUCAUUUCCCACCUAUGAGUGAGAACAUGUGGUGUUUGGUUUUUUGUCCUUGCAAUAGUUUGCUGAGAAUGAUGGUGUCCAGCUUCAUCCAUCUCCCUACAAAGGACAUGAACUCAUCAUUUUUUAUGGCUACAUCGUAUUUCAUGGUGUAUAUGUACCACAUUACCACAUUUUCUUUUUUUUAAUUUUAUUAUUAUUAUACUUCAAGUUUUAGGGUACAUGUGCACAAUGUGCAGGUUACAUAUGUAUACAUGUGCCAUGUUGGUGUGCUGCACCCAUUAACUCGUCAUUUAGCAUUAGGUAUAUCUCCUAAUGGUAUCCCUCCCCUCUCCCCCUACCCCACAACGGUCCCCAGUGUGUGAUGUUCCCCUUCCUGUGUCCAUGUGUUCUCAUUGUUCAAUUCCCACCUAUGAGUGAGAACAUGCGGUGUUUGGUUUUUUGUCCUAGUGAUAGUUUGCUGAGAAUGAUGGUUUCCAUUUUCAUCAAUGUCCCCACAAAGGACAUGAACUCAUUUUUUAUGGCUGCAUAGUAUUCCAUGGUGUAUAUGUGCCACAUUUUCUUAAUCCAGUCUAUCAUUGUUGGACAUUUAGGUUGGUUCCAAGUCUUUGCUAUUGUGAAUAGUGCCGCAGUAAACAUACAUGUGCAUGUGUCUUUAUAGCAGCAUGAUUUAUAGUCCUUUGGGUAUAUACCCAGUAAUGGGAUGGCUGGGUCAAAUGGUAUUUCUAGUUCUAGAUCCCUGAGGAAUCGCCACACUGACUUCCACAAUGGUUGAACUAGUUUACAGUGCCACCAACAGUGUAGAAGUGUUCCUAUUUCUCCACAUCCUCUCCAGCACCUGUAGUUUCCUGACUUUUUAAUGAUUGGCAUUCUAACUGGUGUGAGAUGGUAUCUCAUUGUGGUUUUGAUUUGCAUUUCUCUGAUGGCCAGUGAUGAUGAGCAUUUUUCAUGUGUCUGUUGGCUGCAUAAAUGUCUUCUUUUGAGAAGGGUCUGUUAAUAUCCUUCACCCACUUUUUGAUGGGGUUGUUUGAUUUUUUAUUGUAAAUUUGUCUGAGUUCAUUAUAGAUUCUGGAUAUUAGCCCUUUGUCAGAUGAGUAGGCUGCAAAAAUUUUCUCCCAUUCUGUAGGUUGCCUGUUCACUCUGAUGGUAGUUUGUGUUGCUGUGCAGAAGCUCUUUAGUUUACUCAGAUCCCAUUUGUCAAUUUUGGCUUUUGUUGCCAUUGCUUUUGGUGUUUUAGACAUGAAGUCCUUGCCCAUGCCUAUGUCCUGAAUGCUAUUGCCUAGGUUUUCUUCUAGGGUUUUUAUGGUUUUAGGUCUAAAAUGUAAGUCUUUAAUCCAUCUUGAGUGAAUUUUUGUAUAAGGUGUAAGGAAGGGAUCCAGUUUCAGCUUUCUACAUAUGACUAGCCAGUUUUCCCAGCACCAUUUAUUAAAUAGGGAAUCCUUUCCCCAUUGUUUAUUUUUCUCAGGUUUAUCAAAGAUCAGAUGGUUGUAGAUAUGUGGCAUUAUUUCUGAGGGUUGUGUUCUGUUCCAUUGAUCUAUAUCUCAGUUUGUUUUGGUAACAGUACCAUGCUGUUUUGGUGACUGUAGCCUUGUAGUAUAGUUUGAAAUCAGGUAGGGUGAUGCCUCCAGCUUUGUUCUUUUGGCUUAGGAUUGACUUGGCAAUGUGGGCUCUUUUUUGGUUCCAUAUGAACUUUAAAGUAGUUUUUUCCAAUUCUGUGAAGAAAGUCACUGGCAGCUUGAUGGGGACAGCAUUGAAUCUAUAAAUUACCUUGGGCAGUAUGGACAUUUUCAUGAUAUUGAUUCUUCCUACCCAUGAGCAUGGAAUGUUCUUCCAUUUGUUUGUAUCCUCUUUUAUUUCAUUAAGCAGUGGUUUGUAGUUCUCCUUGAAGAGGUCCUUCACAUCCCUUGUAAGUUGGAUUCCUAGGUGUUUUAUUCUCUUUGAAGCAAUUGUGAAUGGGAGUUCACUCAUGAUUUGGCUCUCUGUUUGUCUGUUAUUGGUGUAUAAGAAUGCUUGUGAUUUUUGUACAUUGAUUUUGUAUCCUGAGACUUUGCUGAAGUUGCUUAUCAGCUUAAGGAGAUUUUGGGCUGAGAUGAUGGGGUUUUCCAGAUAUACAAUCAUGUCAUCUGCAAACAGGGACAAUUUGACUUCCUCUUUUCCUAAUUGAAUACCCUUUUUCUUCCUGAUUGCCUUGCCUGAUUUCCCUGGCCAGAACUUCCAACACUAUGUUGAAUAGGAGUGGCGAGAGAGGGCAUCCCUGUCUUGUGCCCGUUUUCCAAGGGAAUACUUCCAGUUUUUGCCCAUUCAGUAUGAUAUUGGCUGUGGGUUUGUCAUAGAUAGCUCUUAUUAUUUUGAGAUACAUCCAAUCAAUACCUAAUUUAUUAAGAGUUUUUAGCAUGAAGGGUUGUUGAAUUUUGUCAAAGGUCUUUUCUGCAUCUACUGAGAUAAUCAUGUGGUUUUUGUCUUUGGUUCGGUUUAUAUGCUGGAUUAUGUUUAUUGAUUUGUGUAUGUUAAACCAGCCUUGCAUCCCAGGGAUGAAGCCCACUUGAUCAUGGUGGAUAAGCUUUUUGAUGUGCUGCUGGAUUCGGUUUGCCAGUAUUUUAUUGAGGAUUUUUGCAUUGAUAUUCAUCAAGGAUAUUCAUCUAAAAUUAUCUUUUUUUGUUGUUUGUCUGCCAGGCUUUGGUAUCAGGAUGAUGCUGGCCUCAUAAAUAAGUUAGGGAGUAUUCCCUCUUUUUCUAUUGAUUGGAAUAGUUUCAGAAGGAAUGGUACCAGCUCCUUUUUGUACCUCUGGUAGAAUUCGGCUGUGAAUCCAUCUGGUCCUGGACUUUUUUUGUUUGGUAAGCUAUUGAUUAUUGCCUCAAUUUCAGAGCCUGUUAUUAGUCUAUUCAGAGAUUCAACUUCUUCCCGGUUUAGUCUUGGGAGGAUGUACAUGUCAAGGAAUUUAUCCAUUUCUUAUAGAUUUUCUAGUUUAUUUGCAUAGAGGUGUUUAUAGUAUUCUCUGAUGGUAGUUUGUAUUUCUGUGGGAUCGGUGGUGAUAUCCCCUUUAUCAUUUUUUAUUGUGUCUAUUUGAUUCUUCUUUUAUUAGUCUUGCCAGUGGUCUAUCAAUUUUGUUGACAUUUUCAAAAAACCAGCUCCUGGAUUCAUUAAUUUUUUGAAGGGUUUUUUGUGUCUCAAUUUCCUUCAGUUCUGUUCUGAUCUUAGUUAUUUCUUGCCUUUUGCUAGCUUUUGAAUGUGUUUGCUCUUGCUUUUCUAGUUCUUUUAAUUGUGAUGUUAGGGUGUCAAUUUUAGAUCUUUCCUGCUUUCUCUUGUGGGCAUUUAGUGCUGUAAAUUUCCCUCUACACACUGCUUUGAAUGCGUCCCAGAGAUUCUGGUAUGUUGUGUCUUUGUUCCGUUGGUUUCAAAGAACAUCUUUAUUUCUGCCUUCAUUUCAUUGUUUACCCAGUAGUCAUUCAGGAGCAGGUUGUUCAGUUUCCAUGUAGUUGAGCGGUUUUGAGUGAGUUUCUUAAUCCUGAGUUCUAGUUUGAUUGCACUUUGGUCUGAGAGAUAGUUUGUUAUAAUUUCUGUUCUUUUACAUUUGCUGAGGAGUGCUUUACUUGCAACUAUGUGGUCAGUUUUGGAGUAGGUGUGGUGUGGUGCUGAAAAGAAUGUACAUUCUGUUGAUUUGGGGUGGAGAGUUCUGUAGGUGUCUAUUAGGUCCGCUUGGUGCAGAGCUGAGUUCAAUUCCUGGGUAUCCUUGUUAACUUUCUGUCUCAUUGAUCUGUCUAAUGUUGACAGUGGGGUGUUAAAGUCUCCCAUUGUUAUUGUGUGAGAGUCUAAGUCUCUUUGUAGGUCACUAAGGACUUGCUUUAUGAAUCAGGGUGCUCCUGUAUUGGGUGCAUGUAUAUUUAGGAUAGUUAGCUCUUCUUGUUGAAUUGAUCCCUUUACCAUUAUGUAAUGGCCUUCUUUGCCUCUUUUGAUCUUGGUUGGUUUAAAGUCUGUUUUAUCAGAGACUAGGAUUGCAACACCUGCCUUUUUUUGUUUUCCAUUUGCUUGGUAGAUCUUCCUCCAUCCCUUUAUUUUGAGCCUAUGUGUGUCUCUGCAUGUGAGAUGGGUUUCCUGAAUGCAGCACACUGAUGGGUCUUGACUCUUUAUCUAAUUUGCCAGUCUGUGUGUUUUAAUUGGAGCAUUUAGCCCAUUUACAUUUAAAGUUAAUAUUGUUAUGUGUGAAUUUGAUCCUGUCAUUAUGAUGUUAGCUGGUUAUUUUGCUCGUUAGUUGAUGCAGUUUCUUCCUAGCCUUGAUGGUCUUUACAAUUUGGCAUGUUUUUGCAGUGACUGGUACCAGUUGUUCCUUUCCAUGUUUAGGGCUUCCUUCAGGAGCUCUUUUAGGGCAGGCCUGGUGGUGACAAAAUGUCUCAGCAUUUGCUUGUCUGUAAAGUAUUUUAUUUCUCCUUCACUUAUGAAGCUUAGCUUGGCUGGAUAUGAAAUUCUGGGUUGAAAAUUCUUUUCUUUAAGAAUGUUGAAUAUUGGUCCCCACUCUCUUCUGGCUUGUAGAGUUUCUGCUGAGAGAUCAGCUCUUAGUCUGAUGGGCUUCCCUUUGUGGGUAACCCGACCUUUCUGUCUGGCUGCCCUUAACAGUUUUUCCAUCAUUUCAACUUUGGUGAAUCUGACAAUUAUGUGUCUUGGAGUUGCUCUUCUUGAGGAGUAUCUUUGUGGAGUUCUCUGUAUUUCCUGAAUUUGAAUGUUGGCCUGCCUUGCUAGAUUGGGGAAGUUCCCCUGGAUAAUAUCCUGCAGAAUGUUUUCCAACUUGGUUCCAUUCUCCCUGUCACUUUCAGGUACACCAAUCAGACGCAGAUUUGGUCUUUUCACAUAGUCCCAUAUUUCUUGGAGGCUUUGUUCGUUUCUUUUUAUUCUUUUUUCUCUAAACUUCUCUUCUCACUUCAUUUCAUUCAUUUCGUCUUCCAUCACUGAUACCCUUUCUUCCAGUUGAUCGCAUGGGCUACUGAGGCUUCUGCAUUCUUCACGUAGCUCUCGUGCCUUCGUUUUCACCUCCAUCAGGUCCUUUAAGGACUUCUCUGCAUUGGUUAUUCUAGUUAUUGAUUUCUCUAAUUUUUUUUCAAAGCUUUUAACUUCUUUGCCAUUGGUUUGAAUUUCCUCCUGUAGCUCGGAGUAGUUUGAUGGUCUGAAGCCUUCUUCUCUCAACUCAUCAAAGUCAUUCUCUGUCCAGCUUUGUUCCAUUGCUGGUGAGGAGCAGCAUUCCUUUGGAGGAGGAGAGGCGCUCUGAUUUUUAGAGUUUCCAGUUUUUCUGCUCUGUUUUUUCCCAUCUUUGUGGUUUUAUCUACCUUUGGUCUUUGAUGAUGGUGACAUACAGAUGGGUUUUUGAUGUGCAUGUCCUUUCUGUUUGUUAGUUUUCCUUCUAACAGACAGGGUCCUCAGCUGCAGGGCUGUUGGAGUUUGCUAGAGGUCCACUCCAGAUCCUGUUUGCCUGGGUAUCAGCAGCAGUGGCUGCAGAACAGCGAUAUUGGUGAACCGCAAAUGCUGCUGCCUGAUCAUUCCUCUGGAAGUUUUGCCUCAGAGGAGUACCCGGCUGUGUGAGGUGUCAGUCCGCCCCUACUCAGGGGUGCCUCCCAGUUAGGCUACUUGGGGGUCAGGGACCCACUUGAGGAGGCGGUCUGUCCGUUCUCAGAUCUCAAGCUGUGUGCUGGGAGAACCACUACUCUCUUCAAAGCUGUCAGAGAGGGACAUUUAAGUCUGCAGAGGUUACUGCUGUCUUUUUGUUUGUCUGCGCCCUGCCCCCAGAGGUGGAGCCUACAGAGGCAGGCAGGCCUCCUUGAGCUGCAGUGGGCUCCACCCAGUUCCAGCUUCCCAGCACUUUGUUCACCUAAUCAAACAACUAACUGGGCAAUGGCUGGCGCCCCUCCCACAGCCUGGCUGCUGCCUUGCAGUUUGAUCUCAGACUGCUGUGCUAGCAAUGAGCGACACUCCGUGGGCAUAGGACCCUCCAAGCCAGGGGCAAGAUAUAAUCUCCUGGUGUGCCGUUUUUUAAGCCUGUUGGAAAAGCACAGUAUUAGGGUGGGAGUGACCUGAUUUUCCAGGUGCCGUCUGUCACCUCUUUCUUUGACUAGGAAAGGGAAUUCCCUGACCCCUUGCGCUUCCCGGGUGAGGCGAUGCCUUGCCCUGCUUUGGCUCGCGCAUGUUGCGUUGCACCCACUGUCCGGCACUCCCCAAUGAGAUGAACCCGGUACCUCAGUUGGAAAUGCAGAAAUCACUCGUCUUCUGCGUUGCUCAUGCUGGGAGCUGUAGACCGGAGCUGUUCCUAUUCGGCCAUCUUGGCUCCUCCCCGCUAUGUACCACAUUUUCUUAAUCCAGUCUAUCAUUGUUGGACAUUUGGGUUGGUUCCAAGUCUUUGCUAUUGUGAAUAGUGCCGCAAUAAACAUACGUGUGCAUGUGUCUUUAUGGCAGCAUGUUUUAUAAUCCUUUGGGUAUAUACCCAGUAAUGGGAUGGCUGGGUCAAAGAAUCGCCACACUGACUUCCACAAUGGUUGAACUAGUUUACAGUCCCACCAACAGUGUAAAAGUCUUCCUAUUUCUCCACAUCCUCUCCAGCACCUGUUGUUUCCUGACUUUUUAACGAUCACCAUUCUAACUGGUGUGAGAUGGUAUCUCACUGUGGUUUUGAUUUGCAUUCCUCUGAUGGCCAGUGAUGAUGAGCAUUUUUUCAUGUGUGUUUUGGCUGCAUAAAUGUCUUCUUUUGAGAAGUGUCUGUUCAUAUCCUUCGCCCACUUUGUAAUGGGAUUGUUUGUUUUUUUCUUGUAAAUUUGUUUGAGUUCAUUGUAGAUUCUGGAUAUUAGCCCUUUGUCAGAUGAGUAGGUUGUGAAAAUUUUCUCCCAUUCUGUAGGUUGCCUGUUCACUCUGAUGGUAGUUUCUUUUGCUGUGCAGAAGCUCUUGAGUUUAAUUAGAUUCCAUUUGUCAAUUUUGGCUUUUGUUGCCAUUGCUUUUGGCGUUUUAGAGAUGAAGUCCUUGCCCAUGCCUAUGUCCUGAAUGGUAUUGCCUAGGUUUUCUUCUAGGGUUUUUAUGGUUUUAGGUCUAACAUGUAAGUCUUUAAUCCAUCUUGAGUUAAUUUUUGUAUAAGGUGCAAGGAAGGGAUCCAGUUUCAGCUUUCUACAUAUGACUAGCCAGUUUUCCCAGCACCAUUUAUUAAAUAGGGAAUCCUUUCCCCAUUGCUUGUUUUUAUCAGGUUUGUCAAAGAUCAGAUGGUUGUAGAUAUGCGGCAUUAUUUCUGAGGGCUCUGUUCUGUUCCAUUGAUCUAUAUCUCUGUUUUGGUACCAGUACCAUGCUGUUUUGGUUACUGUAGCCUUGUAGUAUAGUUUGAAGUCAGGUAGCGUGAUGCCUCCAGCUUUGUUCUUUUGGCUUAGGAUUGACUUGGCAAUGCGGGCUCUUUUUUGGUUCCAUAUGAACUUCAAAGUAGUUUUUUCCAAUUCUGUGAAGAAAGUCAUUGGCAGCUUGAUGGGGAUGGCAUUGAAUCUAUAAAUUACCUUGGGUAGUUAUGGACACUUUCACCAUAUUGAUUCUUCCUUCCCAUGAGCAUGGAAUGUUCUUCCAUUUGUUUGUAUCCUCUUUUAUUUCAUUAAGCAGUGGUUUGUAGUUCUCCUUGAAGAGGUCCUUCACAUCUCUUGUAAGUUAGAUUUCUAAAAGUAUUUUAUUCUCUUUGAAGCAAUUGUGAAUGGGAGUUCCCUCAUGAUUUGGCUGUUUGUCUGUUAUUGGUGUAUAAGAAUGCUUAUGAUUUCUGUACAUUGAUUUUGUAUUCUGAGACUUUGCUGAAGUUGCUUAUCAUCUUAAGGAGAUUUUGGGCUGAGACAAUGGGGUUUUCUAGAUAUACAAUCAUGUCAUCUGCAAACAGGGACAAUUUGACUUCCUCUUUUCCUAAUUGAAUACCCUUUAUUUCCUGCCUGAUUGCCCUGGCCAGAACUUCCAACACUAUGUUGAAUAGGAGUGGUGAGAGAGGGCAUCCCUGUCUUGUGCCAGUUUUCAAAGGGAAUGCUUCCAGUUUUUGCCCAUUCAGUAUGAUAUUGGCUGUGGGUUUGUCAUAGAUAGCUCUUAUUAUUUUGAGAUACAUCCCAUCAAUACCUAAUUUAUUGAGAGUUUGUAGCAUGAAGCGUUGUUGAAUUUUGUCAAAGGCCUUUUCUGCAUCUACUGAGAGAAUCAUGUGGUUUUGUCAUUGGUUCUGUUUAUAUGCUGGAUUAUGUUUAUUGAUUUCCAUAUGUUGAACCAGCCUUGCAUCCCAGGGAUGAAGCCCACCUGAUCAUGGUGGAUAAGCUUUUUGAUGUGCUGCUGGUUUCGGUUUGCCGUUAUUUUAUUGAGGAUUUUUGCAUCAAUGUUCAUCAAGGAUAUUGGUCUAAAAUUCUCUUUUUGUUGCGUAUCUGCCAGGCUUUGGUAUCAGGAUAAUGCUGGCCUCAUAAAAUGAGUUAGGGAGGAUUCCCUCUUUUUCUAUUGAUUGGAAUAGUUUCAGAAGGAAUGGUACCAGCUCCUCCUUGUACCUCUGGUAGAAUUCGGCUGUGAAUCCAUAUGGUCCUGGACUUUUUUUGGUUGGUAAGCCAUUAAACUUCAAAGACGGAAGUCCUGUAUUUCAUGUUGUUCCCAGUAGUCCAAGAGAUGGGACUGUGACACUGUUGAUGGUUAAUUUAAUGUGUCCAACUUGGCCAUGCUCUGGUGCCCAGUUGUUUGGUUGAACAGCAGUGUAGAUGUUGCUCUGAAGGCUAUUUUUAGACGUGAUUAACAUUUGAAUCAGUAGACCUUGAGGAAAGCAGAUUGCCCUCCAUUUGUGAGUUGGCCUCAUCCAAUCAGAUGAAGGUCUUAGGAGAAAGGAUUUAAGUUCCCCAAAGAAGAAAUUUUUCCCCUAGAUGGCCUUCGGACUUGAUACUGCACCAUCACCUCUUCCCCUCUUCCUUGGGUCUCCAGUUUACCUGCCUUCCCCACAGAUUUAGACUUGCCAGCCCCCACAAUCACAUGGGCCAGUUCUUUGAAAUAAAUCCGUCUCUUUACAUAUAUGUAAUGAAAGGAAACUAUCCAUAAAUAAAUGAUAUGUAUUUAGAAAUAAAACAAUAUAUAUUUUUAUAUACUUACAUAUAUAUAAAAUUAUGUAUACAGACACGUGCAUACAUACAUAGGUAAGUAUACAGACGCAUGUACAUACAUAAGUAUAUGUAUACAUGUAUGUAUACAAGUUCAGUUGGCCCUCCAUAUCCAUGGUUUCUGUAUCUGUGGAUUCAACCAACCUCAGAUAGAAAAUAUUUGGAAAAAAUAUGGAUGGUUGUAUCUGUACUGAAUACGCACGAACUUUUUAAAAAUUAUUAUCCUUAAACAAUACAGUGUAACAACUGUUUACAUAGCAUUGACAUUGUAUUAGGCACUAUAAGUAAUCUAGAGAAGAUUUAAAGUAUAUGGAAGGAUUGCAUAGCGUAUAUACAAAUACUGUUUUAUAUGAGGAACUUGAGCAUCCAUGGAUUUUCGUAUCCAAGAAGGGUCCUGGAACCAAUUUCCCACAGAUACCAAGGGACAACUGCAUUUAUAUAAUGAAACUAAUUACUAAUUGCGAGGAGACCCUAUGAGAAGAGGCAGAAAUUUGGCUGUGACAUAUACAUUAGGCGUCAUGAACCACCCAUACCAUCUACAUUCCUGUAUCUUUCCAGUGCCUGUUUCACAAAGUGAAUGAAUGAAUGAGCAGAUGAAUGUCUUUCUUUUUUAUGGGGCCACCUAUGAUUGUCUCCUUUGUAGCUAUGCCAGGUAGACAUAACCAAGAAAGGACCUCCCAGAAAACUACCACCAGUCCCUGACUGUCCUUCAUGGCACCGAUCUUUAAAUAAACAUGGUCUCUUAGUUUUCUAAAAACAAAUUCUUACCAUUUGUAUUUCAGUCUGGCCACACAAGCUAUUUUGUUUCCACUCAGUGAAAAGAUGUGCUUGCUUUCUCAUCUGGAAUUUUUAUCCUUUCUCACUGGCUGGAUGAUGACUUUGGCGACUGGCAGUGGGCCUCACUCAGUGACCCACAUAUGUAGAGAGGGCAGAUGUUGCCACUUCCUCCAGUCCACCUCAUUAUACUAACUUUUUAUUUGAAUAAUUAAGGGUAGAGAAAGGAUGGUGUGGUCUGUAAGUAGCAAGCCAUAAUCUCCCCAUGUUCAAGUUCAAACUGGACAAAAGACCCCUGAUCCUAACUCUACCAGAGACUUUCUUUCAUGGAUGGCCCAGGAGAUGAAAGAAUUUGCACCUCAGAUGGGGGUUCCCUGUGUGUGCGUCCGUAUCAUGCACUGAACUGACGGAAUUAGAGUGGGGCAAUGAUGACGAGGUAAUAUUGCCUUCCAUGACAGAAAUAAGUUAUUAAGCGUCACAGAAUGUUGGUGUGAUGAAAGACCUUACAGUUCAUCUAAUGGAAUCUGCUUUUUCAUAGACAAGGAAACUGAGAUCAAGAAACGUAAGUCAUUUCCCAAGGUUGAGUUUCCAAUGCUUUCCUGAAACCGUCCUUCUUUGUUGGAGGUUAUUGUUUUCCUCCAGGAGUCCCCAUGCACUGCUCGUGCCUCUUUUUAGCACUGUGUUUAACAUUCCUUCAUUAGACUGUGAGAUUUGGGAGAACUGAGUCCAUGUCUAACUUCUGGGGGCUGGUGUAGAUGCUACCCCAUAGCAGAUGCUCCACAGAUGCUUGUGUGAGAAUGGAAAGGAAGAGAGGAGAGAGAAGAAAGAGAAGGAAAAAGGGUGGGUCCAAAGCUUAGCAGUUAGGUUUAUCACCGGUAAACAUGGUGGCCAGCAGCAUUUGAGACCCCAGUCCUAGCAAGAAGGGGUACACCAGUGAGCUUCUCGUGGAUCCUGAGAUUAUGGUGUAGGCUUUCCCCUCCUUUUCUGUCUCCUCCUGGCUCCAUGGAAUAAAUUGAGCCACAGACACAAACAUACCAGGUCUCCCCCUGGAGCCAGAUCUUAUGCCCCAACUGAACACACCCACUUGGAAGAGUCUCUGGGUUCCAUAAAUAGCACAAACCAGAGGUGCCCCACUGUCUCCCUGGGAAUGAGGAAAGGAAGAACAGUCUGCAGUCAAUGGCACCUCCAGUAGGAACAGGGAGGGGAAAAUGGGAGGGUCCUAGUGGUGUAGGCUAGGGCCCCCCCAUUUGGGAACCUAGAAAGUGAGGGGGUACCUGGAGGGAGGAGGAGGCUGGGCAGGGGUGAGUACCUUGAAGAUACCAUUGGUGCCUGGUUCAUUCCAAGCACAAAUCAUGUUCCUGGACAGCUGGUUUACCCUCUUGGCGCAUUCUUUCCAGCUAAUCUGCACCACUCUCAGCUUUUCCAGGUGCACGUUUAAGUCAUCAUAUUGGUCUGACAAAGGGAGAAAGCUGGUGUGAGAGUGAGCACUGCAUCAGCCGGCAACAGUGAACAGCCCACACGCGAUCAGCAUGGAAGCCUGGGAGGCCACCAACGUCCAGCAGAUGACAAAUUCACAGGGCGUGGAGGCCUGGGAUGACUUCAGUCUCCACUCCAACAGCCCCAACAAGAAGUUCCUCCACUAAAUGUGCUUCCUGUGGGAAGCUCACUCUCUCCAGAAACAGCCCACAAAAGCCCCAGUCUCAGCCCCUGCAAGGGGAAUUUGGAAUGAAGGUCCUCCCUGGCCCCACCAUCUCUUCACAGCCAGGCUUUGCCCCAUGCAGAGGAUCAGAGCAGCCCAACCUUUGAAUUGGUGUUGUCCAGUGUCUUCACCAAGCCAAAUGGAGAACCCAAGAAGAAGACACAUCUGGUCAUGCCACCUUGUAGGAAGGAACUGACCACAAUGCCAGGGGCACUCUUGGCCUUCUCCCCCCAACACUCCCACCCUCCCAGAGAUCUUCCCUGGCCAGGCAGCCUGGUGCCUUGCAGGGAAAAGGAUGGAGCUUGGUUGGAGAAUCACCGGCUCAGAGCUAUCUUGGGAUGGUGUUUUACAUGGGGUGGCCAAUAGAUGGGGAGAUGGCCAUCGUGAAAGAGCCACAGGUGGGAAGAUGCAAACUGGCUUAUCAUGCUUUUGGCGCCACAAAAAUUAUCAUCACUCUCAUAUUUUGAGAUUCUUCUACGUCCUAGGCUUUUACUGGGGACCUCAUUUAAUUUAAUCCCCAUACCUUUUUGAGGAGGUGUUCCUGGCAUUCUGCAGAUGAGAAAACUGAAGGUGAGGAAGGUGAAGGAGCUCAAGAGAGUUAAAACCACAACUCAGACCCAAGCAUUACCGCACCCAAAGCAUCAUGCUCUCUAGCCUAGGGUACCCUACAUUGGGGCUUUCUAUGAGUUCUGAAAAGAGGGCACGUACCAUACCCAUUGGUCGUUACCCACUCUGCCAUCCAACACCAGUCCCAGGUCCUCUCCUCCUCCUGCAGGCAGACAGGCAUUUUGAAAUUGCUGAAUUGCACUGGUGUGGCAAGUAGAAGCAGAGAGAGGUCACUGUCGAGCUGGGGCAGUUUGUAAUCUUUGUGAAUAAUGACCUUCUGCACUUGCUUUCUCUCCGAGUGGAUGUUGCUGAAUGUUCUCGUUCCCAUGACCACAGUGACAUUUACCACGGCCAUGUCUAAUCUAAAGAGCGAAUAUAAAAACACCAGUGCUAACAAGGGUGAUUGAUAGUGCAAUUCACAUUCGUAGACACAUCUGUAAACAGUGAGUUGACAACUAAGGAGAAGUCCAGUGCAGUGGGUGAGCUACAGUGGUCUGGAGCAUGGCUAGGAUCAGAUAGGUAGGAAUCAGGGGCCCAAGCUCUGACAAAUCUCUGAACCAAUGGGUUGACAGUCCAGGGAAACUCUCCUGACCAAAAGAAGAGGAAUGAAUCCCUCUGAGAGAUGAGAUUGUAAGCUCCUUGAUGACAGGGACCUUGGUUGAUGACAGGGACCUUGGCAGUCUUGUCAACUCCUAUGUCCACAGCACGUGGAACAGUACAUAGUAGGUGCUCAGCAGGAAGGUGUUCAAUUAAUGACUCCAGUGUGUUGUCUUCAUACACAGAUGACAGGGAGGACAGAGUGUAUUGGAUGUACUGGGUGCAUAGCUCUAACUACAGCCCACAUUUGGAUAUGAUUGGCUAAAUGAAGGGGAGGGAGUGGGUGUACAGCAGAGACCCUGGGGUACAAAGCCCAUGCAACAUUUUGCACAUAGAACCUAGGGCUUCAUAGGCCUGUGCACUGGCCUACUGAGCUGCCUAGCCCAGACAAUACAUUGACAAGACGGGAUGUAGAUGAAGACACUUACGGGGUUCUUGGGAAGCAACGUGCGGCUGUCAGAACCCACCACCAAUGUAUGAUUGAGCCUCCACAGAGGUGUUUCCGUGACAUCUGGAUACUCACUUGCCACGGGCACUCACCAUUCUGGACUUGAAGCCGUUCAUGAAAUGGUAACCAUGACGAGUUUGGAAAAGCAGGCCUGUGGCCACAUUGUACAUUUUCUGAAAGAGAAAGGAAAGAGCCAUUUGUACAUGAGAAGCAUGGAGAGAUCCCUAUCCCUUAAUCCCAGAAUCUUCCCAAGUAAGACCAGUGUUGAAAGCUGAGCAAGGUAGCACAAACAGCAAACAGGCCGAGGAGAGGGAGAGCUCAGAAAACACCAGCAACCUGCACCUUUUUCCGUGUUCAUUCUUCACAGCCGCAGAGAGCUGAGAGACCUGGUAAACUCUGAGCAGGGCUCUUUCAGAGGCAUAUAGGGUUAGAGUGGCCAUGGAGAUGCACCAAAGGUACACAGGGUCGACUCACGAGAUGGAAACUGUGCAGUGAUUUGAACAAGGAAAGUUUAACAGGAAGAAUCACACACUGUAACUGGGGAGCGACUACAAAGCAUCAGGAGCACUCUAAGAUACAGCAGGGCAGGAGAGUAUCUGAGGAGGAGCCGAACUUGGCAGGGGAGCCUGUCCCCCUCCCCAGGAGUGGGAUUCACAACACAUUGAAGACGGUGUCUGCAGCCCAGCGGAAGGCAGAGACAUUUGCCUGGUUGCCCGGGGCCAGAGCUGAUCCCCUUUGCUAGAGAAGCAGAGUGCACCUCUCGGGAGUUCAGGUGGCCAGGAAAUGGUGGCCAUGACUGGCAACAAGGAACACCCCUCUGGAGCGCAGGUGGACUGGUGCACCACACAGGUGCCUGCCCACUGGCUAGGGAGGGUGCAAGACCUGGGUGUGUGUGUGUCUGUCUGUCUUGGGACAGCUGCACUGAAAACGUGUAGAGGGCUCGGGGGAUUUCGAGGCUGAUCCAAGAAAAAGAUAUGAUCACGAGGUGGUGGCAGCAUACACAGGUUUCAUUUGAGAAAUGCUUUGGGAGGUUGCAUGCGGGGGAAGCCCUUUACAGCCUGAGACUAUCUGGAGGUUAAGGAGACACCAUCCAGAAGAGGAAGAGGACAAGGGGACUUCUGAGGAAAGAGGACUCUGACAGGGGGUUACUCGUCUAGGUGAUGUGGUUCACUGGCACAGUGGGGAGUCUCUGGGUCAGAGAGCUCCCAAGGGCAGCAAUGGCUUGGGGUCUUUUAUAGCCACAGGCUUCAUACUACCUGUAGCUAGCAGAUGUUGGGUGCAGUUUCACAGGGUAUGCAAAGCAGACAAGCUUUAGAUGGCUAAGUAUCUGUUUAUUUAGACUAUGUUCAAAAACAGCUGGAUGUGUAAAACAUUGAGUUUGGGACCAGCAGGCUUUUGAGCUAAUGAGAAGCCUGCUGUGAAGAAAUUGACAAGCUAAGGGCCAUCCUUGGCUCAUUUGUAGAACAGGUCACUGAACAGAAGACAGGGCUCGAGCUCACUGAGAGAGGCAUGGCAGAGCUGAGCAACACCAGGUGUUCCCCACAUGCUGGUGGCAACCAUGCCAUAGGAGCAAGAAGCAGCAAACAGAAGCAUGCUGGAGAGGACCAGGAAGAAAGGCCCCUUCCACCUGCAGUAUCCUUCCAGCACCUACUGCUGAGAAUGCUUAAUGUUGUGCUUGCUACAAAGAAAAAUUUCUUACACGGUCCGGCUGCAUUACUGCCAACCCAAUUUACAGGGAUCCAAAGAAGGCCUGUAGGGGGUUGGGGGGCAAAAAAGACAUGCAGAGUAAAGGACAUGGUCACUGUGGCCACCAGUCUCCAGCAAAUAUCCAUGCCCUGAAGGACUCCUGGAAAUAGCCCAGGAAAAUGAGAAGCAAAUAGAGACUUGGCACAGGCAUAAUAAAUGUGUAUUCUUUUUUAAAGGAACAGGGAUGGGAAAAAAACAGCAACAUUUACUAGAUGAAACUCUCAAUAGGAAAAUGUUACCCAGAACAAAAAAUCUGAGUAGUAUAUUUUGCCAUAAAUCAUAAAAAAUAAAACCUUAUAAAGCAAUCACCUAUGUGAAAGAAGAUUAUAAAUUAGAAACUCAAGGAAGACUUUAUAAGAAAACACGAGGAGAAAGUGAGAAAAAGGAGGAGUUGGGGCAUGAGCAGGCAGAAGUCGGGCUAGAAACAGAAGAAUAAAAUACAGAAAAUUCUUUGGACAGCAUAGUAAGGGAUAAGGAGUAUGUAAAUUAGAGAAGCAAUGAAAAUCAAAGCAGAGUUUAAAAGAGAGAUUUUUGUGUGAAUGUAAUUUUUAAUUUUAGGGGGAUAAAUACCUAGAUAGAUAGGGACUGCUAGGUCAUGUGGUCAGUGCACGCUCAACCUUUUACAAAACUGCCCAGUUGCUUUCCACAUGGCUGCACCAUUUUGCAUUCCCAUCAACAAUGGAUAAGAACUCCGGCUGAGUGCAGUGGCUCACGCCUAUAAUCCCAGCACUUUGGGAGGCCGAGGCAGUUGGAUCAACUGAGGUCAGGAGUUUGAGACAAGGGUGACUAACAUGGUGAAACCCUGUCUCUACUAAAAAUACAAAAAUUAGCUGGGCAUGGUAGCAUGGGCCUGUAGUCCCAGCUGCUUGGGAUGCUGAGGCAGGAGGCAGGAGAAUCACUUGAACCCAGGAGGCAAAGGUUGCAGUGAGCCAAGAUCACACCACUGCACUCCAGCCUGGGAGACAGAGCAAGACUCUGUCUCAAAAAAAAAAAAAAAAAAAAAAAAAGUGGAUAAAAGUUCCUAUCACUUUACAUCUUUACAUCCUUGCCAACACUUGGUACUAUCAGAAGUUUUUAUUUUAGCCACUGUAGCAGACACACAGGAAUAUUUAAUGUGGGAUUGUUCACAAUCCUCCAAAUUGGAAAUACCCAAAUAUCCCUCAAUGGGUGAAUGGAUAAGUGAACUGUAAUCUAUCCACAUGAUGGAAUACCACCCAGGAAUAAAAAGGAACUAUUGGCGCAUGCAACAACAGAGGAGUCUCAAGUGCAUUAUGCUAAGUCAGAGAACCCAGGCUGAGAAGGUCACAUACUGUGUAGGGUUAUAUUUAUAUGGCAUUCUGGACAAGGCAAAACUCUGGGUGUGGAUAACAGGUCAGUGGCUGCCAGGAGUUGGGGGUAGGGGAGGGGUGAGUACAAAGGAGCAGAUAGAGGGGAUUCUUGGGAGUACUAAAAAUUUCAAUAUCUUGUCUAAAAGUGAGGUUAACAUGAAUCUUUGUAAAAAUAAUUAGAAAAAAUGAUAGCUAGAGAAUAUAGGCAAUGAUUGUUCUUGAAUUUUAAAUGACACAUAAAAAUAGGAAUAGAUGAGCAUUUCCCUAACAUGAUAAAGUGUAUCUAUCUUGGCCCGAAAGUGAGUAGCAUGCUGACUGGGGAAAAGCUGGAAGCCUCCCCACGGAGUCAAGAACGGCACAGAUGUCCACUACCUCUGCUACUUGUUACCAUUGUACGGGCAGCUAGGAGGAGAUGGUGAUAGAUUUUGAGCAGAGGGAGCCCAGAGGAUCCCUCCACACACAGGAGGGGAGUGAGACAGGGCUUCCAUCUAGAAGAGUCUAUGAGGGGCCGGGCACGGUGGCUUGCGCCUGUCAUCCCAGCACUUUUGAGAUGCCCGGCAGGCAGAUCACAUGAGGCCAGGAGUUCAAGACCAGCCUGGCCAACAUGGUGAAACCCCAUCUCUACUGAAAAUACAAAAAUUAGCCAGUCAUGGUGGUGGGCACCUGUAGUCCCAGCUACUUGAGAGACUGAAGCAGGAGAAUUGCUUGAACCCGGGAGGAAGAGGUUGCAGUGAGCCGAGAUCGUGCCACUGCACUCUAGCCUGGGAGACACAGCAAGAUUCUGUUUAAAAAAAAAGAGUCUCUGACUGGGCCAGGGAUAGUUGGAGGUAUAGUCAUGGGUCACUUAAAAAUAGUGUUGGAAGUUCUGGCCAGGGCAAUUAGGCAGGAGAAGGAAAUAAAGGGUAUUCACUUAGGAAAAGAGGAAGUCAAAUUGUCCCUGUUUGCAGAUGACAUGAUUGUAUAUCUAGAAAACUCCAUUGUCUCAGCCCAAAAUCUCCUUAAGCUGAUAAGCAACUUCAGCAAAGUCUCAGGAUACUAAAUCAAUGUACAAAAAUCACAAGCAUUCUUAUACACCAAUAACAGACAGAGAGCCAAAUCAUGAAUGAACUCCCAUUCACAAUUGCUUCAAAGAGAAUAAAAUACCUAGGAAUCCAACUUACAAGGGACAUGAAGGACCUCUUCAAGGAGAACUAGAAACCACUGCUUAAUGAAAUAAAAGAGGAUACAAACAAAUGGAAGAACAUUCCAUGCUCAUGGGUAGGAAGAAUCAAUAUCAUGAAAAUGUCCAUACUGCCCAAGGUAAUUUAUAGAUUCAAUGCCAUCCCCAUCAAGCUACCAAUGACUUUCUUCAUAAAAUUGGAAAAAACUACUUUAAAGUUCAUAUGGAACCAAAAAAGAGCCCACAUUGCCAAGUCAAUCCUAAGCCAAAAGAACAAAGCUGGAGGCAUCACACUACCUGACUUCAAACUACACUACAAGGCUACAGUAACCAAAACAGCAUGGUACUGGUACCAAAACAGAGAUAUAGAUCAAUGGAACAGAACACAGCCCUCAGAAAUAAUGCCGCAGAUCUACAACCAUCUGAUCUUUGACAAACCUGAUAAAAACAAGCAAUGGGGAAAGGAUUCCCUAUUUAAUAAAUGGUGCUGGGAAAACUGGCUAGCCAUAUGUAGAAAGCUGAAAUUGGAUCCCUUCCUUACACCGUAUACAAAAAUUAACUCAAGAUGGAUUAAAAACUUACAUGUUAGACCUAAAACCAUAAAAACCCUAGAAGAAAACCUAGGCAAUACCAUUCAGGACAUAGGCAUGGGCAAGGACUUCAUGUCUAAAGCAACAAAAGCCAAAAUUGACAAAUGGGAUCUAAUUAAACUCAAGAGCUUCUGCACAGCAAAAGAAACUACCAUCAGAGUGAACAGGCAACCUACAAAAUGGGAGAAAAUUUUCAAAACCUACUCAUCUGACCAAGGGCUAAUAUCCAGAAUCUACAAUGAACUCAAACAGAUUUACAAGAAAAAAACAACCCCAUCACAAAGUGGGCAAAGGAUAUGAACAGACACUUCUCAAAAGAAGACAUUUAUGCAGCCAAAACACACAUGAAAAAAUGCUCAUCAUCACUGGCCAUCAGAGAAAUGCAAAUCAAAACCACAGUGAGAUACCAUCUCACACCAGUUAGAAUGCCGAUCACUGAAAAGUCAGGAAACAACAGGUGCUGGAGAGGAUGUGGAGAAAUAGGAACACUUUUACACUGUUGGUGGCACUGUAAACUAGUUCAACCAUUGUGGAAGUCAGUGUGGCGAUUCCUCAGGGAUCUAGAACUAGAAAUACCAUUUGACCCAGCCAUCCCAUUACUGGGUAUAUACCCAAAGGAUUAUAAAUCAUGCUGCUAUAAAGACACAUGCACAUGUAUGUUUAUUGCGGCACUAUUCACAAUAGCAAAGACUUGGAACCAACCCAAAUGUCCAACAACGAUAGACCGGAUUAAGAAAAUGUGGCACAUAUACACCAUGGAAUACUAUGCAGCCAUAAAAAAUGAUGAGUUCAUGUCCUUUGUAGGGACAUGGAUGAAAAUGGAAACCAUCAUUCUCAGCAAACUAUCGCCAGGACAAAAAACCAAACACCACAUGUUCUCACUCAUAGGUGGGAAUUGAACAAUGAGAACACAUGGACACAGGAAGGGGAACAUCACACAUCGGGGACUGUUGUGGGUUGGGGGGAGGGAUAGCAUUAGGAGCUAUACCUAAUGCUAAAUGACGAGUUAAUGGGUACAGCACACCAGCAUGGCACAUGUAUACGUAUGUAACAAACCUGCACAUAGUGCACAUGUACCCUAAAACUUAAACUAUAAUAAUAAAAUAAUAAAAAUUCCAAACACCGUUUAUCAAAGAUUAUCUCCCUCCUCACAAAUCUGAGUUGUCUCCUUGAAAAUAGCUUUAUAUUAUUAUAUAUAAUCACAUUUUGUCUAUCCUAAGGGCAAUGUCUAUAUCAGAUUAAGAAUAACUGACAAGAGAAUUUGCCUGUUAACACUCUGUGUUGCACCAAUAUGAUGGAACAAACUGCUAGGCACUUAAUUUCUUUCUAAUAACAAAAUUCUCAAUUGCUUUACCUGCUCUGAGAUUUAAAUAUAACGCAUAUCCCACAUGGUUAGCACAGUGUCUAACACUAAGCUCAAAAAGCAUUUACUAAAAUGAACUAAAUUAUGGCAAGGCUGACAGAAAGCCCCAUGAGAAGAAAGACGUUUUAAACACAAGAAGGUGGAAGGUUCUUCCAAGUAAUGAGAAAAGUUAAGUGGUAACAGGAGAAUUUUACAAGAAACACACAACUAAAAAGUACAGAUUUCAUAAACUCUCUUCUUACCAAUUACUAUGUAAAUAUUACUGAUUUUCAAGUAACUCCCCUUAUAAUUAAGGUUAGUUUACACUUUCAGUAAUGACAAAAAUCACACUGACAAAAUAUACUUUAAUUCUCAUUCUUCAUUAACUAACACAUACUUAGUUCUUCAUAGAAAAACUCUCAUCUCUAUUAUGACAUGAGAAUGUUUCAUUCAUAAAUGAAAAUUGGUGACCCUAAGUUUCAAACUCCAAGACAUUAUGACUACAUUCAGUGUUUUCAAAGGAAUCUUAAUUUCAACUUUGUUCAUUAAAAUUUGUGAAUCGAUGGCCUGAGGAAAUUUUCAGUAGAAAUAUGUUAAAUUCAGUAAGGCAUUAUUUAGAGAACAUGUAUAAUUUUCAUUAAGCUGAAUAGUGAAAAGAUGAGAUGCUAUUUUAUAUUGGCCUCUGAUAUGGUUUGGCUUUGUGAACCCACCCAAAUCUUAUCUUGAACUGUAAUACCGUAAUCCCCACGUGUCAUGGGAGGAACCCCGUAAGAGGUAACUGAAUCAGAGUGAGUUCUCCCAAGAUCUGAUGGUUUCAUAAGCAUCUGGCAUUUCCCCUGCUGGCACUCAUUCUCUCUCCUGCUGCCCUGUGAAGAGGUGCCUUUCACCAUGAUUAUAAGUUUCUUGAGGCCUCCCCAGCCACACACAACUGUGAAUCAGUUAAACCUCUUUUCUUUAUAAAUUAACCAGUCCUGGGUGUUUCUUCAUAGCAGUGCAAGAAUGGACUAAUACAGCCUCAAAAUAUGAAUUUAUCAGGAAAACAUUCUUCAUUUCAAAUAACAUCUAAUCAGUGAAAUCCCUAUCAAAUAAACAUAUUUCAUAUUUUUUAGUCCAAAGUCAAUAUUGUUACCAUCUCUCUCCUCUUCCUCUCCCUAUGAAAAAAAAGACCUUCCAACUUUCAUAUUCUCAAUAGGUAAGGCAAUCUCUUGAUUAUGAAUUUAAUAUAUAAGACUCUUAAAUAUGUUUAGGCAUAUUAUAUCUUUUUAAUAAGAACAGCUGGUUGACAAGUAAACAGUAAUCAUAGGGAAAGGCAAGUCUUUCAAGUUUGAAACCAAAUUCCAUUAACAUAGAAAAAUAAGAGGCAUUCACAGAAAGGAAGUUUUUAAGGUCAGGUGAUUCCUAUUAUUAGCCAGAGGAGGAUGAAAAUAUGAUGGUGGCUCCUGACACUGAAAAGUGGGUAUGGAGAUACAUGAUCCUUUGUAGGGUUGAUGUAGUUAAACAAAAAGUGAUAUUUUCUUGGAACAGAUCAUCUGUGAUUGUCACAGAGGUUUUCAAAACUUAAUAAUCCUCAAACAGUAACCAGGUCUAUUGAUCCUGGUGGGCAGGGAGGAAUUUGGCAUAAAAAAAAAGAUAACUAACAUUCACUGAGACAAGUAUUAUUAGCCCAUCUUACAAAUAUGAAAAUUUUGGUUUGAAGAUUUCAAGGAACAGGAAAAAUUACACUGCUAACUGGAAGAUGUAUCAGGGUUUAAACACAAAUUUAUCUUCUUCCAAACAUUAUUCACUCUGUACAAUACCACAUCAACAAAUGCUUCUGUCAGAAGAAAUCUAUGAAGUCAUAUAUAGAAAAUUAUAGGAUAAUAUAACCUAGGUGAUAUUUUCGUAUCUCCUACGCAUUGAACGUAAUGAUACUGCACAAUAAACACAAAUAUGGCAAAGAAAAAAAAUGGGAUACAUUCUGAGAAAUGUGGGGUUAAAGGCAAGCAUCACAGAGUGAACUUACAUACAGCUAGAUGGUGUAGCCUGCUCACGCCUAGGCUAUAUGGCAUAGCCUAUCGCUCCUAGGCUACAAAACCAUACAGCAAGUUACUGUACUGAAUAUUGUAGGCAACUGUAACACGAUGGUAUUUGUGUAUCUAAACAUAGAGAAGGUACAGUAAAAAUAUGACAUAAAAGAUAUUAUAGUGCCCUCGUCCAGGGCAUUUUACCAUGAAUGGAGCUCGCAGGACUGGAGUUGCUCUGGGUGAGUCAGUGAGUUAGCAGUGAGUGAAUGUGAAGGCCUAGGACAGGACUCUACAUGGUUGUAGACUUUGUAAACACUGUACACUUAGGCUACAUUAUAUUUAUAAAGAAUAGUUUUUCUUUCUUCAUUAAUAAAUUAAUCUUAGCUUCUGUAACUUUUUUACCUAUAAACUUUUAUGUUUUUAAUCUCUUAAAAUUCUUUGGUCAUAACAUAGCUUAAAAUACACAUUGAACACUGUAAAAAUAUUUUCUUUCUGGCUGGGCACAGUGGCUCACGCCUGUAACCCCAGCACUUUGGGAGGCCGAGGCGGGCAGAUCAUGAGGUCAGUAGUUCGAGACCAGCCUGGCCAAUAUGGUGAAACCCCAUCUCUACUAAAAAUACAAAAAUUAGCUGGGUAUGGUGAUGCGUGCCUAUAGUCCCAGCUACUUGGGAGUCUGAGGCAGGAGAUUACUUGAACCCGGAGGCAGAGGUUGCAGUGAAUCAAGAUUGCACCACUGCACUCCAGCCACAGUGACACUCCGUCACACACGAAAAAAAUUCUUUCUUUAUAUCCUUAUUUUAUGAAAUAAAAUACAAACAACCCCAUCAAAAAGUGGGCAAAGGAUAUGAACAGACCUUUCUCAAAAGAAGACAUUUAUGCAGCCAAAAGACACAUGAAAAAAUGCUCAUCAUCACUGGCCAUCAGAGAAAUGCAAAUCAAAACCACAAUGAGAUACAAUCUUACACCAGUUAGAAUGGUGAUCAUUAAAAAGUCAGGAAACAACAGGUGCUGGAGAGGAUGUGGAGAAAUAGGAACACUUUUACACUGUUGGUGGCACUGUAAACUAGUUCAACCAUUGUGGAAGUCAGUGUGGUGAUUCCUCAGGGAUCUAGAACUAGAAAUACCAUUUGACCCAGCAAUCCCAUUACUGGGUAUAUACCCAAAGGAUUAUAAAUCAUACUGCUAUAAAGACACGUGCACACCUAUGUUUAUUGCGGCACUAUUCACAAUAGCAAAGACUUGGAACCAACCCAAAUGUCCAACAACGAUAGACAGAAUUAAGAAAAUGUGG